GCCCCGGUAAACGGCGGCCGUAACUAUAACGGUCCUAAGGUAGCGAAAUUCCUUGUCGGGUAAGUUCCGACCUGCACGAAUGGCGUAAUGAUGGCCAGGCUGUCUCCACCCGAGACUCAGUGAAAUUGAACUCGCUGUGAAGAUGCAGUGUACCCGCGGCAAGACGGAAAGACCCCGUGAACCUUUACUAUAGCUUGACACUGAACACUGGUCCUUGAUGUGUAGGAUAGGUGGGAGGCUUUGAAGCGUGGACGCCAGUCUGCGUGGAGCCGUCCUUGAAAUACCACCCUUUAAUGGCU
rnacentral:rRNA from 1 species